rnacentral:misc_RNA from 1 species
GAUGAAGAACGCAGCGAACUGCGAUAAGUAAUGUGAAUUGCAGAAUUCAGUGAAUCAUCGAGUCUUUGAACGCACAUUGCGCCCCCUGGCAUUCCGGGGGGCAUGCCUGUCCGAGCGUCAUUGCUGCCCUUCAAGCCCGGCUUGUGUGUUGGGUCGUCGUCCCCCCCGGGGGACGGGCCCGAAAGGCAGUGGCGGCACCGCGUCCGGUCCUCGAGCGUAUGGGGCUUUGUCACCCGCUCGAUUAGGGCCGGCCGGGCGCCAGCCGGCGUCUCCAACCUUUUAUUUUACCAGGUUGACCUCGGAUCAGGUAGGGAUACCCGCUGAACUUAAGCAUAUCAAUAAGCGGAGGA